rnacentral:rRNA from 1 species
CCGCUGAACUUAAGCAUAUCAAUAAGCGGAGGAAAAGAAACCAACAGGGAUUGCCCCAGUAACGGCGAGUGAAGCGGCAAUAGCUCAAAUUUGAAAUCUGGCUCCUUGGGGCCCGAGUUGUAAUUUGGAGAGGGUGCUUUGGUGUCGGCAGCAGCCUAAGUUCCUUGGAACAGGUCAUCAUAGAGGGUGAGAAUCCCGUAUGUGGCUGAUUGUCUUCACCAUGUAAAGCCCCUUCGACGAGUCGAGUUGUUUGGGAAUGCAGCUCUAAAUGGGAGGUAAAUUUCUUCUAAAGCUAAAUACUGGCCAGAGACCGAUAGCGCACAAGUAGAGUGAUCGAAAGAUGAAAAGCACUUUGGAAAGAGAGUCAAAAAGCACGUGAAAUUGUUGAAAGGGAAGCGCUUGCAGCCAGACGUGCCCGUAGUUGCUCAUCUGGGGAUUUCCCCAGUGCACUCUUCUAUGGGCAGGCCAGCAUCAGUCCGGGCGGUUGGAGAAAGGCCUGUGUCACGUAGCUGCUUUCGGGCAGUGUUAUAGGGCAGGUGGAAUACGACCAGCCUGGACUGAGGUCCGCGCAUCUGCUAGGAUGCUGGCGUAAUGGCUGUAAGCGGCCCGUCUUGAAACACGGACCAAGGAGUCUAACAUCUAUGCGAGUGUUUGGGUGUCAAGCCCGAGCGCGUAAUGAAAGUGAACGGAGGUGGGAACCCUUGGGUGCACCAUCGACCGAUCCUGAUGUCUUCGGAUGGAUUUGAGUAAGAGCAUAGCUGUUGGGACCCGAAAGAUGGUGAACUAUGCCUGAAUAGGGUGAAGCCAGAGGAAACUCUGGUGGAGGCUCGCAGCGGUUCUGACGUGCAAAUCGAUCGUCAAUUUUGGGCAUAGGGGCGAAAGACUAAUCGAACUAUCUAGUAGCUGGUUCCUGCCGAGUUUCCCUCAG